GACGUGCCUUUUUAUCGGGCGUACUGUAUUCUCGUUGUCCGUUAUUGAGACGCAGGUAUUGACAUUCAAACGCAAACAACAAUACCGGCCGGCAAACAAGUUGGGUUACCUAUAUAAUGGGUCGCUCGGAUCUAACGAGAGUGUAUAUUAUUAUUAUUAUUGUUAUUUCUAUCUCGUAAAAUAGAAAACCUCCGACGAGAGCGAACAAAUAAAUAAAACAAUUUUUCGACUUCUUCCGUCGUAAAUUGUAAUUCGAAAUGUUGCUGUGAGUCAUUUCAGUUUUUAAAUCGUCCGUCCGGCCGUCGUUGUUUUUAAAUUCUGAGCGCGGAUGUAUUGAUUUUACACGAUGUGCAUUUUAUUUUUUUUCUGCCGGUUAACAAAUUUCCUACGAGAAAUAUUACUCCGAUUUUCAUGUUUACCGUCUUUUCUGAUGGCGAAUUUCGUCAAGUUGAUUUCACUUGUGUUUCUGAUAAUAAUAGUGAGAAAAACCGCGGAAAAAUUACGGAAAAACUUUCGGAAAUAACGGUUUCAUUGAUUUCAAUUUUGUUUUUCGUCAUAAUUCGGCUUUAACAAUAAUCGUAGACGUCUGCAAUUUUCACAGAAUACUUACAUUAGCUUCUUUAUAUUAGCUAUACUUAUGUAUAACUAUAUAUAAGG